AGAGAUAAUAAUGUUUUAAAAAAAGAGUUCGCAACUCGCGAAGCACUACCUAGCCCCAACGCAGCAACUUUACCACAACUUUCUUCAGUUAAUCAGCAAACGAAUAUACCUUUUAAUCCUUCUUCGCAAAUUCAUCAUUUAUCGCUCCAAAAUUCAUAUUCGCAACCUCAACAAACCCAUGUCCCUGAGCUGGGCUCCACGAUUACUACAGCUCCACAAUCUCUCUCCUUACAGACUCAACAAGCACCAUCUUCAGUGCCUGGUUCUCAGCCAAUUUCUCAAACGGCGUAUACAAAUACUUUGCCUUCCGAUUCCUCUCCAUUCUAUCCGCCUUCUGGAGACGCCACGUUUUACGCGCCUCUUACACCGGUUAUUAAUUCUAACACGAUCCAGCUAGCAUCUUUCAAUGCGUCUCAGAAUUGUCCAGUGGAUGGGAGAUCCCCAAUUUCUCACUAUGGGGGAGCCUUUCAUUCUUUACCAGGAGAAAUAUAUA